rnacentral:lncRNA from 1 species
GACAAGAAAGAAGAGAGAGAAAGGUGAAGAAAAGAAAAAGAAGAAAGAAAGAGGGAGAAGAGGGAAGCUACUAAACCCUUUAUUUUGUAUGUCUUUCCACAAACUCCUGCCCACCAUUUCCUACCUUAUAAACACAAUUUCACUAAAUACUAGAGAAAAUAAAGAGAGAAAAGAGAAUAGAAGAGGAGUAGAUGAAGAAAGGGGAUGGAAGAUAGAUAAUCAAGCUUAGGUAGUGUUUAUCCAUGGAGGGAGGAGACUCGAAGAAAGAGAUACAAGAGGAAGAAGAAAGAAAAAGAGAUGGAUUAAGGAAAGAAAUGAAGUUCAAACCUAGUGUUCAAUUGGAGAGCAGUGGCUAGAGUGUUUCAAUUAAUCUCUUCAAGUAAUUUGAUGUAAUAUAAAACCCCAACCCUAAAACCUUUCUAGGGUGUUAUUGUUAUAAAUUGAUUUUUAAAAGUGAUUAAGUAGAUAUUUUCUGUUCACAUUAAUAAAUUCUAGUUCUUAGCCUUGUAUGUGAUGUGUGUUGUUAAAUUUGCUAUGUUAAUGUUUUGUUUAUGAAAUGCAUGUUGAGGUGAUUUUUUAAGAUGUAAAUUAUGUGGUUGCGUUGUUGG